UAAAUUUUAUUUCUAAAAAAUAUACAUUUUUAUUGAUGUAUUAAAAAAACGUAACAUUAUUAUUUAUUUUUCACUUAAAUAUGACUUAAAAGUUAACAAUACAUAAGAUAGAUACGACAAAACUAAAGAACGUUACAUAUAGUAAAAAAAUAAAAGUAUUUGUUGUUAGUAUGUGGUGGCAUAUUCAUUGUUUUUUAUGACGGCUUCACAUCUUCGUGGCAUAGAUUCAAUUAAAUUGUUUACAUGUCUUGAGAAAUGUUUUUCUAUGCCCGUUCGACUUGGGUAGAGAGUCCUUGUUUUUACAAUUUUCCUGCUGAAUUUUCCGCACUACACUUUCCCAUAGAUUCUCUAUGGGAUUGAGAUUAGAUGAUUGCUCGGGCCACUUCAAAACUUCAUUUUAUUGGAAAUAAACCAGUCCUUUACACAUUUGGCCGUGUGCUUCGGAUGUUAUCGUGUCGGUAGUUCCUUUUUAACGGCAUUUCCUCUUCAGCAUAAGGAAGCAUAAAGUUUUGAGGUAUGCAAAUAAAACGAUCCUUUUGGUCUUCGUUCCAGCUUUAAUUCACCCAUUCCUUUAAUAUUGUACUCGGACUCAUCAGAAAAAAAUACACUUCUCCAUCUUGUAAUACUCUAGUUAGCGUGAGCUUUUGCAAAUUUAAUCCGCGCUUUUCGAUUUUUGUGUGAAAUGUAUGACUUUUUGACACUUCUGCCUGUUAUAAAGUUAUUUUCUACAGUUCGUCGCUGGAUGGAUCUGCACGAAAUAUUUAAGUCCAAUUCGCUCUGGAUUGAUCUAGCUUAUAUAAAGGGAUCUCUUUUUAUGGAGCGCACUAUGGUCAUAUCCUCACGGCUAGUAGUUUUACGUGGUCUGCCACCUCCAUGAAUUGUGGUUAGGGAGCCCGAAGAAAGAAAAUGACAUAAUUCUUGAGACAAUGCUGUGAUUAAUUGUGAAGUUUUUCGAAAUAUUAGUUACUGAUUCACCGUUUUAAAAUCGCUAUUAAUUUUUUCCCUAAAUAUUGCUGAAUACUUAUUACGCGCCAUUUCACAAAUGUUUUUUUUUAUUACAAAGCAACACCAUCGGUUGAUCAGAUAUCCUAAUGAAACUUGGUACACGUGUUCCUUGGAAAAAAAGUGAUGGGCGUAAUCGGACCACUGACACGCCCCAAAACGUAAUUAAACGAAAAUCUAUAAAGUAACAUAAUUAAGCACUAAAUUAAGAUAUAAAAUUGUAAUUUGACACUGGGGAUCACAGUAGCAAGAGGCACCUGUAGGCUAAAAAUUAAAUAAAAGGUAUGGCCACGCCUUCUAAGGGGUAAUGCACAUAUCUCCUAAACCACUUACGGUACAACAAACCAAUUCGCUCAAGACAAAUCUUUUAUGCACCCCUACACUGUAAAAUUGUUGAAAUCGGGUGAUACCCCGCCCACUCCCCAUGUCAUGGUUCUGUUAAAACUACUAAAAGCGCGAUAAAUCAAUAAAUAUAUACUUCCGAGACAUUAAAUUUUACAUCUACGAUGAUACAAAAGGACUUUUUAGGAGCCGGAGUCAAAUGGGCAUAGAACCGCCCAUAUUUCGGUGAAAACACAUGUCUCAGGACCUACUCAACCAAAUUUGGUAUGUAAUUCUAUCUUGUGAUUCCUAUAUUUUAUUGCGAAAAUGGGCGAAAUCAGACCACAACCACGCCUACUUCCCAUAUAACACAAUUUUAAAUUCCAUCUGAUUCUUUCACUUUCCAGUAUGCUAAUCAAGCACCAAUUAACGUAUCGGUAUAAAACUUAACUUAUUAGCAUUGCGAUCUCAUAAUAAAUAUACCGACUCCGGAACAACGUUUGUAAAUCCAGCAAAUUUAUUACCAAAAUAAUGGGUCGAUUCGCGCGAAGCAUCAUACAAAACUCCUUUCAGCGAUAAAGUUCAAUUUUGGUUAAAUGGGUACAUUAAUGAACAAAAUUGUCGCAUUCGAAGUGAUGAUACUAUAAUCUACAAGCCAUUGUUUAGACGCCAUGAUAUUCUCAAAAAGUCACUGUUUGGUGGGCUCAAUGGGCAGAGAGAAUCAUUGGUACACAUUUUUUUAAAACUAAAGCAGACCAAUGGGGAACGCCAUAGAGCCAUGAUUAAUGACUUUUCCAUAGCUGAAUUGGAGGAUGUUGAUGUGGACAACCUUUGGUUCCAACAAGAUUGCGCUACAUAUAGCCAACGAAACAAUCAAUUUAUUAAAGGAAACUUUUGGAGAGCGCAUUAUUGGUCAAAGUUAGACAUUUUAAUUUUUAUGUCUACGCCAAAUUUAAUAUUAAAUUCAGUAGUAGAUUGUACUGUAUAAAAUCCUUUGACAGCUUCCUUCGUAAGUAAAGCCGUUAUUUAAGGUUCAAACUAACAUACUCACUUGAGCGUAAGCAUUCUCACCAUAUUUGAUCGCCCGACUGAAACGCUGUACUUAAAUUACAAAAUUCCUGUUAUAAAAAAGAUAUUAAAAAGCACCACACACAUAAGUACAUACAUACCUAUAUGUAUAUAUGUAUUUGAGUUUUAAUUUUGCCAAUAUGUGUGUACAAGUAUUCAAAAACUAUAGUUAAAUUUAUAAACGAGCCUAAGUAUAUACUGAAAAUUCAGAUGGAACAUGGUGCUUUCCAUUUUGUAGCAGAAAUGAGGACACACACAAAACCAGACCAAGGAAAAAAACAAAAGUAAAAAACGUGCAAAGUAAUUUAACCUUUAAUUAGAGCAUUGAACCGGACCGAGGCAGAAAGUGCAACGAAUCAUAAUUUAUUAAACGCCGCAACACAAAAAAUAAAAUCACUACAACAAUAAAGAAGCAACAACAAAAAAUAACACAACACAUCUGGCGAGAAUAUUAACUGUAAAAGGCGAGCGAAAAACACCAUGCUAAGAGAAACAACAUGUAAUAACACCCACAAAAAGAACAUACGACAAAAUAAAAAUAGCAACAAAGCUACACACAUACACUGAAACAAUGCGUAAUUAAAGGCCUACAAGGAAGGGGUAAAAUAGGCUAGAUGAAGUUGCCAGACAGGUAGCCAGACGGGCGAGCGGCAAUACGUACGUAUAUAAAUAUGUAUAAACGAAUCCUAAGAUGGUGGUACGAAUUGCAGUUAGUAUCAGGGAUAUGUAAAGGAUAAUCCAAAAUGUAGACAAUGUCACCUAUUUUUUUCCUUAUGUAUAAAUCGAGCUACAAAGACCUGCAUUGCUUUGUAAAAGUCGUAAGAAUGGAAAACAAUAAAAAGCAGCCUACAAAUAUCUGUAACCAGUGAGCAAUUCAGGUUUGGUUUCGGUGCGGACUGAAUGUAUUGUGUACAGAUUUCAUACAACUAAAGAUUAGAGUGCAAUGUCAAGGAGCGUUAGCAACACAGCUGUGUAAAUGAAAAGAGAGAAAAAUCGAAUCUAGAGAGCAAAUGCAAGAAAUUAAGAGGUAAAGGAAUAUUUAUUAUACAUGUAUGUGUAUUAUAUUGUAUAUAUACGUAUUUUUCAUGUCACUCUCACUUAGCCAUUAUCUAUAUAACAUAACGUAGACUACAGUGGUUCAGAUCUCAUUUUGUUAAUUCAUGUGAUUUUCAGUUGCGCACAACAUUUAAAUCUUUCGCAACCAAGUACCAAUUUAUUGUUCUUUAACUGUUAGCCAAACUUGUGUGGACGAAAGGUUGGGACAGUCGACAAGGACAAGAACAGCAAGGAGACAGAGGUGUUGCGACCUCUUCACAUGCUACUGAAAGCGAAGACUAGGAAUUUCACAACUAAUUUCAAGUGCACGGUCGGUAAGAUCAAGGCUAUCAGAAUGCCUUUUUUUUCUUGAUAUGUCAACGGGUAAUUUAAUUAAGGAAAAGGAAGUGUUUGAGUCUCUAUUCCAUUUUAAAAUUCAUCCAGAGAUCAAUCUCUUCUGUGUUUUCAAAAGGAAGGAGGAGAAUAAAUAAACAAGCCAACCGGUUCAUUGUAGGCGAAGGGACGAGGAGGAAAGACGAAGGAACCGUGCCCGCUUUGUGUUCUUGUUCGUAACAGCAAUUCUAUUAAUGGUUGAGAGAGCGCUCGGUUUCAAAUGAAUCUACAAGUAUACCAUUCGUUCAGAAAUUUUAAUUCUGUUAUCUAUUUUUUGUAUGAAAUUUGCAAAUAUGUAUGUAUGUAUGAAAUAUUUUGGAAAAUGGUAAAUAAGGAGAAAAUUAAGAUACUCUAAAAUAUUCAAUUUAAAUUUUUAA